GCGGGCGUCGUAACCUAUUGAUUUUACUGGUCUAUAAUUGGCCGGUCAUGAUUUAGGUUCCAGCGCCGAAAGGUGUAAGAGUUCGAGUCUCUUCGUCCGCACCA
rnacentral:tRNA from 2 species